CUUGCUCAUUUAGAGGAAGUAAAAGUCGUAACAAGGUCUCCGUUGGUGAACCAGCGGAGGGAUCAUUACCGAGUUUACAACUCCCAAACCCAAUGUGAACCAUACCAAACUGUUGCCUCGGCGGGGUCACGCCCCGGGUGCGUCGCAGCCCCGGAACCAGGCGCCCGCCGGAGGGACCAACCAAACUCUUUCUGUAGUCCCCUCGCGGACGUUAUUUCUUACAGCUCUGAGCAAAAAUUCAAAAUGAAUCAAAACUUUCAACAACGGAUCUCUUGGUUCUGGCAUCGAUGAAGAACGCAGCGAAAUGCGAUAAGUAAUGUGAAUUGCAGAAUUCAGUGAAUCAUCGAAUCUUUGAACGCACAUUGCGCCCGCCAGUAUUCUGGCGGGCAUGCCUGUCCGAGCGUCAUUUCAACCCUCGAACCCCUCCGGGGGGUCGGCGUUGGGGAUCGGGAACCCCUAAGACGGGAUCCCGGCCCCGAAAUACAGUGGCGGUCUCGCCGCAGCCUCUCCUGCGCAGUAGUUUGCACAACUCGCACCGGGAGCGCGGCGCGUCCACGUCCGUAAAACACCCAACUUCUGAAAUGUUGACCUCGGAUCAGGUAGGAAUACCCGCUGAACUUAAGCAUAUCAAUAA
rnacentral:rRNA from 1 species